rnacentral:rRNA from 1 species
UACGUGAGGUGGCGAGCGUUGUCCGGAUUACUGGGCGUAAAGGGCGUGCAGGCGGUUUGUUAAGUGCAGGGUGAAAGCUCCCGGCUCAACUGGGAGAGGUCCUUGCAUACUGGCGAACUCGAGGGAGGCAGAGGAAAGUGGAAUUCCUGGUGUAGCGGUGAAAUGCGUAGAUACCAGGAGGAACACCGGUGGCGAAGGCGGCUUCCUGGCCGAGUACUGACGCUGAGGCACGAAAGCGUGGGGAGCGAACGGG